rnacentral:rRNA from 1 species
AGAGUUUGAUCCUGGCUCAGGAUGAACGCUAGCGGCAGGCUUAACACAUGCAAGUCGAGGGGCAGCAUAAUGGAUAGCAAUAUCUAUGGUGGCGACCGGCGCACGGGUGCGUAACGCGUAUGCAACCUACCUUUAACAGGGGGAUAACACUGAGAAAUUGGUACUAAUACCCCAUAAUAUCAUAGAAGGCAUCUUUUAUGGUUGAAAAUUCCGAUGGUUAGAGAUGGGCAUGCGUUGUAUUAGCUAGUUGGUGGGGUAACGGCUCACCAAGGCGACGAUACAUAGGGGGACUGAGAGGUUAACCCCCCACACUGGUACUGAGACACGGACCAGACUCCUACGGGAGGCAGCAGUGAGGAAUAUUGGUCAAUGGGCGAGAGCCUGAACCAGCCAAGUAGCGUGAAGGAUGACUGCCCUAUGGGUUGUAAACUUCUUUUAUAUGGGAAUAAAGUGAGCCACGUGUGGCUUUUUGUAUGUACCAUACGAAUAAGGAUCGGCUAACUCCGUGCCAGCAGCCGCGGUAAUACGGAGGAUCCGAGCGUUAUCCGGAUUUAUUGGGUUUAAAGGGUGCGUAGGCGGUUUGAUAAGUUAGAGGUGAAAUUUCGGGGCUCAACCCUGAACGUGCCUCUAAUACUGUUGAGCUAGAGAGUAGUUGCGGUAGGCGGAAUGUAUGGUGUAGCGGUGAAAUGCUUAGAGAUCAUACAGAACACCGAUUGCGAAGGCAGCUUACCAAACUAUAUCUGACGUUGAGGCACGAAAGCGUGGGGAGCAAACAGGAUUAGAUACCCUGGUAGUCCACGCAGUAAACGAUGAUAACUCGUUGUCGGCGAUACACAGUCGGUGACUAAGCGAAAGCGAUAAGUUAUCCACCUGGGGAGUACGUUCGCAAGAAUGAAACUCAAAGGAAUUGACGGGGGCCCGCACAAGCGGAGGAACAUGUG